CGUGUCCCAUCAUGCCUUUUGUUGUGCCUGUUCUGUUCUCUGUCGAUCAUAUCAUGAUUUAUCUGUUUUCAUGAGUGGAGCUUUUUUGCGUGAUGUUCCAGGUUUCUCUUGAUGCCAUCUUGUUUUUCAGAAGUGUUUAGUAAACAGUGCCGUUCAUUUUGCUGUGUUCUUACAUUUUCACUUUACCAACUUGUUUUUGUUAGAUCUCCGUUUAAAAAGGCUGUCAGCUGCCUUUGUAUUAUCUUUGUAUAAUCUAACAUAAAUACAAAGAUAAAUGUUUGUGUCUGCAUGCCAAUGUCCAAUGUUGGUUUACGGUAACUAAUUCUAUCUCUACCACUGCAUUUAUUUAAUUUAUUCCUGAAUACUAUUCAAUUACCUUCCAAUCAAAUUAUAUUUUAAGAUAUAAAUGAAAACAUGUUAUCUCUGGAAAGUCUGACACCUUUUGUAUUUUUGCACAAAAUUAUCUCUUUUUUUCUGCAGCAAAAACUAACAAGAGAAUUUCUGAAUAUAAUGCUGUUUUAAAAGAUUAUUUCAUGUCCUUCAAUAAAUUGUAGGCUUUUGUACCCAACAAUCAAUACAGUAAUGUAGGCUGGCCAUUAUUUGAAUAAUUUCCCCACCAGAUCCAACUAAUUUAGAUGUGUUCAAGUGGCCUCUUAACUUAUUUCAGGUGGUUUUGUGGUGAAGGUUGUAGGAAAGAAGUUUAGGAUUUUUUAAUAUUUGUUGACAAAAAAAAAAAAACACUUCUAGAGUUUUUUACUGAAAACUCUAGAAGUUUUCAAGUUUUCUAAAACUCUAGAAGUAAAAACUUCUAGAAGUUUUAGUGCAUUUUUAGAGUGCAGU